AUUGAACGCUGGCGGCAGGCCUAACACAUGCAAGUCGAACGAGUGGCGGACGGGUGAGUAAUGUCUGGGAAACUGCCUGAUGGAGGGGGAUAACUACUGGAAACGGUAGCUAAUACCGCAUACCAUCAGAUGUGCCCAGAUGGGAUUAGCUAGGUGGUGGGGUAACGGCUCACCAAGGCGACGAUCCCUAGCUGGUCUGAGAGGAUGACCAGCCACACUGGAACUGAGACACGGGCCAGACUCCUACGGGAGGCAGCAGUGGGGAAUAUUUGCCAAUGGGCGCAAGCCCGAUGGAGCCAUGCCGCGUGGAUGAAGAAGGCCUUCGGGUUGUAAAGUUCUUUCAGCCGGGAGGCGUUACCCGCAGAAGAAGCCCCGGCUAACUCCGUGCCAGCAGCCGCGGUAAUAC
rnacentral:rRNA from 1 species